rnacentral:rRNA from 1 species
GACCCAGACUCCUACGGGAGGCAGCAGUGGGGAAUAUUGCACAAUGGGGGAAACCCUGAUGCAGCGACGCCGCGUGAAGGAAGAAGUAUCUCGGUAUGUAAACUUCUAUCAGCAGGGAAGAAAACAGACGGUACCUGACUAAGAAGCCCCGGCUAACUACGUGCCAGCAGCCGCGGUAAUACGUAGGGGGCAAGCGUUAUCCGGAAUUACUGGGUGUAAAGGGAGCGUAGACGGUGAUGCAAGUCUGGAGUGAAAGGCGGGGGCCCAACCCCCGGACUGCUCUGGAAACUGUAUGACUUGGGUGCAGGAGAGGUAAGCGGAAUUCCUAGUGUAGCGGUGAAAUGCGUAGAUAUUAGGAGGAACACCAGUGGCGAAGGCGGCUUACUGGACUGUAACUGACGUUGAGGCUCGAAAGCGUGGGGAGCAAACAGGAUUAGAUACCCGAGUAAC